AACAAACCACAACUGGGCCAGUUUUAGCAUUGACAGAUUUGGACCCCAUAAACCAAACCACAACUGGGCCAGUUUUAGCACGGACAGAUUUGGGCCCCAUUAACCAAACCACUACUGGGCCAGUUUUAGCACGGACAGAUUUGGGCCCCAUUAACCAAACCACUACUGGGCCAGUUUUAGAAUUGAAAGAUUUGGAUUACGUAAACCAAACCACAACUGGGCCAGUUUUAGCACUGACAGAUUUGGGCCACAUAAACCAAAUCACACUACAGCUGGACCAGUUGGGAUGCACCAUCUUAAAAACAGUGUCAUGAUUGCCACACCUGGCCCACACCCAGUUGACAAACUACUUGCUACGCCAACAGUGCCAGCUCGACACCAGAUCUGGACCACACCUGUCGAUGUGGAACCCCCGGGAAGCCAUAUUGAGCAGCCAAAUGAAGAGCGGUCUGUCCUUUAACGUCACAGGCGUUGAUGUCGGCCCCUAAAGACAGCAGGUCCUGGACGAUCUCUGGCUGGUUUGCCGUCACUGCCACUAAUAAAGCCGUCUGCACAAA